rnacentral:lncRNA from 1 species
AUUUUUACAUUCGCCAGUAUCCGUUAUUCUGCAACUCCCUUUGAGAUCUUAUUAUAUGUGACAAUAAAUUAAUGUCCUUCUCUCUCUGAUUUUCGCUUUCUCUCAAGACAUUGCACGGUCUUUGAAGCACGGUGUAUUUUCCAGAAGAUACAUCGUGUAAAACAUUUACAAGGAAACCAAACAUACGGAGAUUGAGAUAUAACUUAAAAACAGAUGUACAAAUUAAUGUUUAAUAUGCCUACCAAAAUAAUCCCCCCCCCCC